rnacentral:tRNA from 1 species
GCCUUCGUGGUGUAGUGGUUAGCACAACCGGCGCGUAUUCUAGAGGCCCGUGGUUCAAGUCCCGGCAAGGGCA